rnacentral:lncRNA from 1 species
UUUUUUUUUUUUUUUUUUUUUCUGAGACUCUGAGGUAGAUGAGGCGUGAUGAGAAUAGCAUGGGAAGAUUUGGGAGGGAGCUGCUGAUAGUCCAAGAUGGAUCCUUGGCUGCAUCUGCAACACAGCCGGCUCUUCACCGGUGGUGCAUCGUGGGGGUGGGGACACGCAGUCAGUUGCUAUAUUCUAGAAGAUAAUAAAUACAGUCUUGCCAAGCCAUCACCAUGUUUUGAUUUCUUGUUUUCGAUGGCCUAUUCUCAAUAGCAGCAUAACAAAAGGGAACGAUUGCUGCAGGGGAAAGAAUUCAGACAAAGCCUGGGCUGCUUGAACCCCCUUCUCUCUUGUGUGUGAAAAGACUAGGAGGGACGCUGGCGGCCUCCUUUAGUUUCUUUUGUAUACAAGUCUGCCUGCUGGUGGGAGCUGACUGGCAAGCUCGACUCAGAUCAGAGAGAUCUGCAGUGCAGAUGCCUUCUUGAGGAAAAAUAUGCACCACUGGCAGGUGGUGGUUCUUAAGAGAACUGAGUCUUUGGCGAAAAAUUCGGUUUGUCAAAGGAAGGAUUUUAAGAGGUUUAGAAAAUGCUUUGUUGACUCCAGCGCAGUCUUGAAUUAUGACACAAUAUUCCUGAUCUUAGCAUUAAAUAUAUUCUCUCAUGUUUCCUAAUACUGGCCUUCCACCUGUCUGAGAGCUUUGGUGCCCUGCAGAAUUCUCCAUGGGAAUGGCCAUUUGGAUAAAUGGUAUGGGAGGAAGUUUUCUGGAGAUAAAGGGAAUGAGGCAGCAUAUUUUGAACCCUGGUUCUGUUUAAACCACCAGCAUUUCUCUUUCAAAUUUUUGCAUUUUGGGCUAUUUUCCAGAUAAACGGUGGCUUUUCUAUAACUUAGUGACUUGCCUUUAAUCACUGCUUACUGUUUGGUUGGCCUAGUCCUAAUUUCCAAAUUUCUGAUAAAAGUCUAGGUUUCAGAAGUUGGCCUUUUGUGCUGAAGAUCAAAUGUUAAGUAUUGAGGAAUCAGUCUAGCUAGCACUCAGAGAAUUAAAUUUUUAGCUAUGGUUGUCAUCAAAUAGUGAAAAAAAAUUUUAAUACAAAGUAGCCCAGGCUAGCCCUGAAUGCAAGAUGAUUCUGCCUCAACCUCCAUGGGAACUACAGGUGCAUGCCACCACACCCAUCACGAAUCAACAUUUUUUUUUUUUUUUAAAGAUUUAUUUAUUAUUUUAUGUAAGUACACUGUAGCUGUCUUCAGACACACCAGAAGAGGGAGUCAGAUCUUGUUAUGGAUGGUUGUGAGCCACCAUGUGGUUGCUGGGAUUUGAACUCUGGACCUUUGGGAGAGCAGUCAGGUGCUCUUACCCACUGAGCCAUCUCACCAGCCCUCGAAUCAACAUUUUUAUUCUUUUAAUGCACUGUCAGAGGGAUUGGCUCCCUUAGUGUGCCAGAGGAAUGCAAGUAUGUACUGCCACCCUGUGAAUUUUAUAUUAGCAGUACUGAUAUAUUAACAUGCAGUAUUUUUGUUUAGCUUGUGUUUCUGCUAUCAUUCCCUCAUGUCACAUGCCACAUUGUCACAGUUUUAUUAUUGCCAUUUCCCUGUGUUUUUUAAUAAAGAGUCUUCUUCUGGAAUUCAUUACAUAUCCUAGCAGGCUUUGAAAUCUCUCCUAUCUCAUCAUCUCAAAUCCUGAGAUAAUAGGUGUGAGCCACUAUGCCAAGCUACCUUGCUUGGGGUGGUGGUGAUGGUGUUGUUGUUGUUGUUAACAUAACUCUUUGUUUCAUUUGUUUCGAUUUUUUGAGAGAGAGAGAGACAAAGCCAAAACAAAAAGAGGUAGCCCUGUGUAGCCCUGGCUGACCUGAAACUGGCUCUGUAGACCUGGCUAGUCUGGAACUCAGAGAUCCACCUGUCUGUGCCUUCUGAGUCCUGGGGUUAAAGGUGUGUGCCAACACUGCCACCACCACUGCCUUUUAAAAUACCCCUUUUGGUAGUGGGAAAGAUUCUAAAAUGAGGCAUUUUGCCAACAGAGAAAUUUAUAUCUUGAAAUAGUAUUCUGCGUAGAUGUGUUUGCCUUGUACUUUCCUAACAGUAUAAAUUGCCUAGUAUGACCAUUUUUCUUAAUUUUUGUAUAAAAUUGCUUCUGUGACAUCAACUGUAGACAUUUUGUCACUAUUGACUCAGUGAGGGUUUUGUUUUGUUUUCUUUGUCUUACAGUGUUAUAGAGGGAACCUAGGGCCAUUUUGCUGCUAGGUAAACUUCUAAGACACAUCCCUAGCCCCACUAUUGGCAUUUGAAACAGUGUCUAUCUGUAACUACAGAAGUACUCAAUGGGUUUCUGUUGAAUAACUCAUCAAGUUUACAAGCUGAAAAGGAAUACCUGAAAAGCACACUAAAUGUCCUAUCAUAAACUACUGCUCAUUGUUAAUUAACUGAUUAUCAGAAAGUAGAAAUGGGGUGCUGGCGAGAUGGCUCAGCGUGUAAGAGCGCUGACUGCUCUUCCAAAGGUCCUGAGUUCAAAUCCCAGCAACCACAUGGUGGCUCACAACCAUCUGUAAUGAGAUCUGACAGGUACUCUUCAGAGUCAGCUACAGUGUACUUAUGUAAAUAAAUC